UAACAAUCAGCCCUUCACCAGCCAUCUCCAGCCCUUACAUGGAACCUCCAUACUGGUUUUCAGAGAAUGAGACUUAGGACGGGUUCAUAGAGGAGAGGAGGAAGAUGCGACAGGGAAACUGAUGAAGAUGCUCUGGAGGACAUGAGCAAUGCGGCUGCCCACAGCUCAUAGCUGAGUGAUAUCCUGGUACAGUCGGAACAAAGGCAAAUGAUUUAUCUUCAAGGAGCUGCUAGGAUGCUUGCAGCAGAUAAUUGAUUCCCUUGAGCAGAAAGGCUAGAAAACUUCUGAGGGGAGGAGCAAAGAGAUGAGAAAGCUUGGUGAUGCAAAUGACCCAAAGGAAGGGAACGGAAAUGGAUGAACAGGAGAGGGAGAAAAGAAAGAAGAUGCUGCAAAGGCAAUGUAUCUUAGGUUUGGGGGGCUUUUGGGGU
rnacentral:lncRNA from 10 species